rnacentral:ncRNA from 1 species
AGAAAGUUUUAUUUUGGCUUGAAAAAUUCAUUAUUAGAUUAUUUUAUAUGUAAAUUUUUGUGCGAUUAUAAAUAUGUUUCUAAAUGAACUAUUUAAUUAAAUUAUUUGCAGUAAGCAAAAUUAAUAAUUAGGCAACCCUAGAAUUUGUAAUUUUGUUAAGUAUUGGCUAAAUCUGUGCCAGCAGCUGCGGUUAAACAGAGGAUAUAAGUGAAUUUAUUUAGUAAAGAGUUAAGUUGUAAAUUUAAAUUAGAAAAAUAAAUAAUUUUAGGUGAAAUUUUAUUAUUUAUAUCUAUAAAUCUUGAUUUACUGAAGCUUGGAAAUUUUUUUUUGAAACUAGGAUUAGAUACCCUAUUAUUAAAAAUGUAUAAAGUGUGACUUGAGUAGUAAUAGAUAUAGGCUUGAAACUCAAAAAAUUUGGCGGUAUUUUAGUCUAUUUAGAGGAACCUGUGGUGUAAUCGAUAGUCCACGUUGGAUCUUACUUAAUUUUGUUUUUCAGUUUGUAUACCGCCGUUAUUUGAAAAUUUUAUAAGAAUAAUAAUUUUCAAGAUUUUUAAUAGAAAAUUAAAUCAGGUCAAGGUGCAGUUUAUGAUUAAGAAUUCAUGGGUUACAAUAAAUAUAUUUAAACGAAAUAAAUUUUGAAAUAAGUUUAUGAAGGUGGAUUUAAUAGUAAGUUUCUGAAUAUUGGGGGACUGAUUUUAGCUCUAAAAUAUGUACACAUCGCCCGUCGCUCUUGUUAAUAAUAUAAGAUAAGUCGUAACAUAGUAGAUGUACCGGAAGGUGUAUCUAGAAUGAC